AUGCACUUGUCCGCCCGCCGCCCGAGCCCUGUGCCGCCGUCGGACAUGGCACACCGGUCGCCUCUGCAGCUCCUGCCCGCCAUGGACGCCGCUCGGCUCGCCGGCAACCAACCGGCGCCGCCACCGGACCUCGCACUGUCACCGCCGCGUGGUGGCCAUCCUCAUGUGAAUCACAUAAACCUGCCAGGAUCAUCACCAAGGCAAACCAUCUCCACCUCGAUCAUCUCAGCCAUGGCCUCCUCCUCCUCCUCCUCCUCCAUGCCCGCCCCUCAGGAGGUCCGACAGCGUCGCCGCCAUGAUGCCCGAGGCGCUGCGCCAGAGCCGGGGGCUACCAGAUGA
rnacentral:rRNA from 1 species